CACGAACGCUGGCGGCAGGCUUAACACAUGCAAGUCGAGCGCCCCGCAAGGGGAGCGGCAGACGGGUGAGUAACGCGUGGGAAUCUACCCAUCUCUACGGAAUAACGCAUGGAAACGUGUGCUAAUACCGUAUACGUCCUUCGGGAGAAAGAUUUAUCGGAGAUGGAUGAGCCCGCGUUAGAUUAGCUAGUUGGUGGGGUAAAGGCCUACCAAGGCGACGAUCCAUAGCUGGUCUGAGAGGAUGAUCAGCCACACUGGGACUGAGACACGGCCCAGACUCCUACGGGAGGCAGCAGUGGGGAAUAUUGGACAAUGGGCGCAAGCCUGAUCCAGCCAUGCCGCGUGAGUGAUGAAGGCCCUAGGGUUGUAAAGCUCUUUUACCCGGGAUGUUAAUGACAGUACCGGGAGAAUAAGCCCCGGCUAACUCCGUGCCAGCAGCCGCCGCGGUAA
rnacentral:rRNA from 1 species